UACGUAGGGCGCAAGCGUUAUCCGGAAUUAUUGGGCGUAAAGAGCUCGUAGGCGGUCUGUCGCGUCUGCUGUGAAAACUCAGGGCUUAACCCUGAGCUUGCAGUGGGUACGGGCAGACUAGAGUGCGGUAGGGGAGACUGGAAUUCCUGGUGUAGCGGUGAAAUGCGCAGAUAUCAGGAGGGAACACCGGUGGCGAAGGCGGGGUCUCUGGGCCGUAACUGACGCUGGAGGAGCGAAAAGCAUGGGGAGCGAACAGG
rnacentral:rRNA from 1 species